rnacentral:ncRNA from 2 species
GAACUUAAGCAUAUCAAUAAGCGGAGG